rnacentral:rRNA from 1 species
UACGUAGGGGGCAAGCGUUGUCCGGAUUUAUUGGGUUUAAAGGGUGCGUAGGCGGUUCCAUAAGUCAGUGGUGAAAUACAAUAGCUUAACUAUUGAGGUGCCAUUGAUACUGCGGAACUUGAGUACAGACGAGGUAGGCGGAAUUGACGGUGUAGCGGUGAAAUGCUUAGAUAUCGUCAAGAACACCGAUAGCGAAGGCAGCUUACUAGACUGUAACUGACGCUGAGGCACGAAAGAUGUGGGGAGUACAAAACAGGGA